rnacentral:tRNA from 1 species
GGUUUAGUAGUCAAGUAUGAUUUUAAAUUGCAAAUUUAAAGGUAAAUUUUUUUCUAAGCUU